GGGGAGGAGAACCUCCCUCAACCUGCUGGCUGCAAACUUUGUAAUGCACCCCAGGAUACCAUUGGCCCCCCUGGCCACAAGAGCACACUGCUGAGUCAACCUGCUGUCCACGAGGAUGUUAUUCAAAUCUGCCUGCUCACCACUGAAAUACGUCCACUUGGAUAUGGCAGUGCAACAGGGAACAUAAGAAUUAAAGAAACAGUGAUACCACAACACCUGUCGGAGUGGCCAGCUGAAAGCUCUGAGAACUGCAUACUGCCCAUCAAUCCAAAAGAAAAUUCUCAACAAAGCCAGUGGGAAGCACAGACUGUUCCAAAGCUGGACUACAGUUCUCACUUUUGGAGAGAAGGAUAAUAAUACUGUAAAGGAUAAAAUACAAGGCCAAGAAGAGGAAAGAAUGAAAACUAUGAAAAUACAAGACCACAAGGAUGUUGGAUGUUCAAGGCAUGUAUCUUGGUUUUAUUCUUCUUUGUAAUACGGAUUUGUGAUUUAUAAAAAGACCUUUUAAUAUGCAUAUAUCACUUAGGGGAAUGAUUGUACAGAAGAAAUAUGUCACUCAAGCCAAAUAAAAUAAAACUGGUAUCAUACUUCCAGAAGUUCUGGCACAGCAGAGAAAGUAAUUCGUUUAGAAAGAAAAUCCCAAUAAGCUGAAGAUUAGAU
ensembl:lncRNA